AUGGCUCCCAGGUUGCUGGGAGCGGGGAGAAGACCCCCCUUUCUCUACUGUCCUGUAGGGUUUUUAUUCCUCUUAGUUGGCGGGGGUGGGCGUGGGGGGGCACCACCGUGGGAUCUGGAGAGCCGUGGUCUUCUCCCCUUGACCUUGUUCAAUUACCCUUAUCGGCCCUUGUCUACUAGGGCCCUGGGGCUGGAAACGUCCUCUCCGUCUCAUUUUUCUUCGUCCUUUUUGUCCGUAGACGGAGUCACGGGGCUUAGGGAUGAAUGUCCAUCUGGGAGCAGGUGCACUCCCUACCCUCAACAAGGCCCGUGGGGAUGCUCGUCCCCGGAGCCCUUAAGCCACAGGCGUUCAUCCGUGGCCACAUCGAAGAAGGUACGGAAGCCCCUGCUCCUGCACCGACGGCCUGGCUCCCGGCAACGCCGGAUCCUUAACCCACGGAGCGAGGCCAGAGAUGGAACCUGCAACCUCACGGUUCCCAGUCGGAUCCAUUUCCGCUGUGCCACGACGGGAGCUCCCUUUGUGUGCGUUUUGAAAUUAACGGCGAGCAGCCUACCCACAGCUGCCUCACCGACAGCACGGACAGGCGGUGAACACGUGUGUUGUGUGCCAUAG
rnacentral:lncRNA from 1 species